UUGUCGGAGGCGUGGUUGGUGACGGACGAGUUGGAGUCGUCGGUGCCGGACGAGUUGGCACGGUGCCGGUGCUAGCCGGUUCGUCCAAC
rnacentral:tRNA from 1 species